GCUGGAAUGGCCGAGUCGUUAAGGCGAGUGAUUUGAACUUUCAAACUCAUCACUUGGUGUUUCACCGCGUAGGUUCAAAUCCUGCUUCCAGCG